GCUGGGUGGAACGACAGGGCCCUAAUAGAUCACUACCGGUGUAGCCUUAGGGAGGACGUCUGCAGGGAGCUAGCGUGUCGGGACACUACACUCUCCCUAGAUGAACUGAUCAACAUGUCUAUACGACUGGACAAUCUGCUGGCUGCCCGCGGGCGUUCAGAGAGGGUCCUGUCAGUUCCAGCUCCUAGCCUGCCUGCACCCAUUCCUAUGGAGCUCGGGGGAACUGCGUCAAGGGGAACCAGAGGAGGGCGCCCCUCCUGCACCAAUUGUGGUCGACGAGGACACACGGAAGACCGGUGCUGGGGGGGUCCCUCUGGGAGUCGAGAGGGCAGGCAGAACACUCCUCGUUCAUCCCAGACAGCCGUUACAGAAUUACCCACCAAACCCGGACCAAGCAGCGUAAGAGGAAGGAGCAGCAGGAGUACAGCGUUAUGGACCAAUGGACUUGGGAACAGAUCCUGGACGGAGAGGGACCAUGGACUCAGGCUGGGGAAUAUCGCCUCCCGCAGUGGGAGAUUGAAGCGGC
rnacentral:lncRNA from 1 species